GACGAACGCUGGCGGCGUGCUUAACACAUGCAAGUCGAACGGAGUGGCGAACGGGUGAGUAACACGUGGGUGACCUGCCCUGCACUUCGGGAUAAGCCUGGGCAACUGGGUCUAAUACCGGAUAGUGUGGGAUGGGCCCGCGGCCUAUAAGCUUGUUGGUGGGGUAAUGGCCUACCAAGGCGGCGACGGGUAGCCGGCCGGAGUGGGUGGACGGCCACGUGGGGACUGAGACACGGCCCAGAUUCUUCCGGGGGGAGGCAGUGGGGAAUAUUGAACAAUGGGCGGAAGCCUGUGGCAGGGACGCGACGGGGGGAUGACGGCCUUCGGGUUGUAAACUCCUUUCACCAUCGACGCGGUAGAUGGAGAAGAAGCACCGGCUAACUACGUGCCAGCAGCCGCGGUAAUUC
rnacentral:rRNA from 1 species